CUUGCUACAAUGUGCCUCGACACCUUGCCCAUAUUCUCACUAACCAGGUGAUGAAAUGUGAAGAAGGAACUCAUCUUCAUGCUACCAACCAGGUGAUGAAAUGUACAAUUCGUACUCUCUUUCAUGCCACCAACCAGGUGAUGAAAUGUACAACCCGUACUCUAAUAUCAUUUGGCAACUUGCCACUCAUGUCACCAACCAGGUGAAUAAGGAACUCAUCUUCGUGCCACCAACCAUGUGAUGAAAUGUACAACCCGUACUUUAAUAUCAUUUGGCAACUUGCCACUUAUGCCACCAACCAGGUGAAGAAGGAACUCAUCUUCAUGCCACCAACCAAGUGAUGAAAUAUACAACCUGUACUCUAUUUCGUGCCAAUCAUUUGGCAACUUGCCACUUAUGCCACCAACCAGGUGAAGAAGGAGCUUAUCUUUAUGCCACCAACCAGGUGAUGAAAUGUACAACCCGUACUCUAAUAUCAUUUGGCAACUUGCCACUCAUGCCAUCAACCAAGUGAAGAAAGAACUCAUCUUCGUGCCACAAACCAGGUGAUAAAAUGUACAACUCGUACUCUCCUUCAUGCCACCAACCAGGUGAUGAAAUGUACAACCGGUACUCUAAUAUCAUUUGGCAACUUGCCACCCAUGCCACCAACCAGGUGAAGAAGGAACUCAUCUUCGUACCACCAACCAAGUGAUGAAAGCAACUCACCAUUUAUUCCACCUACUAGAAGACGAGUGGUACAACUUGUAUAUGUGAACUCCUAGCAUUCACAAAUAAUAAAAAACCAUCAAGCUUGACAACUCAACUAGGGGAUCACUUAUGCCCAACAAGAGUCAUAGUCACCAACAAAGUCUUAUUGCAAGCCAACAAUAACUUCAAUGUAUGGCAUACGAAAAUCAAGCUAUUCAGCCCUCUUGCAUCUGCUUCAGACAUUUCCCCUCUGUAACAAUGCAAACACUACAACUCGUAGAAAACUUCACACACUCUUGAUUAAGACAGUGUGAAGCAAAACCAAUUUAUGGUGCCAACAAGAGCUUCAUCAAAGGAGUUCAACCACAAUUCUCAAAAGCUUCACACAUUAUUGAUCAAGAUAGUGUGAAGCAAAACCAAUUUAUGGUGCCAACAAGACCUUCAUCAAUGGAGGGUAACCACAAUUCUCAAAAGCUUCACACACUCUUGAUCAAGACAGUGUGACGCAAAACCAAUUUAUGAUGCCAACAAGAGCUUCAUCAAAGGAGUUAAAUCACAAUUCUCAAAAGCUUCACACACUCUUGAUCAAGACAGUGUGAAGCAAAACCAAUUUAUGGUGCCAACAAGAGCUUCAUCAAUGGAGGGCAACCAUAAUUCUCAAAAUCUUCACACACCCUUGAUCAAGACAGUGUGAAGCAAAACCAAUUUAUGGUGCCAACAAAAGCUUCAUCAAAGGAGUUCAACCAAAAUUCUCCAAAGCUUCACACACUCUUGAUCAAGACAGUGUGAAGAAAAAUCAAUUUAUGGUGCCAACAAAAGCUUUAUCAAUAGAGGGGAACUACAAUUCUCAAACCUUCGAAGCAAAUUCAAGACUGUUCGAAGCCCCAGAAGACGAAGGCAAUAAAUGCCUUUGGAACAAACCCACAAACCUCUGAUG
rnacentral:lncRNA from 1 species